UUUGUAGGUGGCUUGUUAAGUCAGACGUGAAAUCCCUCAGCUUAACUGGGGAACUGCGUCUGAUACUGGCGAGCUUGAGUGCAGGAGAGGAACGCGGAAUUCCAGGUGUAGCGGUGAAAUGCGUAGAUAUCUGGAGGAACACCGGUGGCGAAGGCGGCGUUCUGGACUGCAACUGACACUGAUAAACAAAGCCAGGUAGCAAACG
rnacentral:rRNA from 1 species